AUGUGGGGAGUUUUCCUUCUUUAUGUUUCCAUGAAGAUGGGAGGCACUACAGGACAAAACAUUGACCAGCCCACUGAGAUGACAGCUACGGAAGGUGCCAUUGUCCAGAUCAACUGCACGUACCAGACAUCUGGGUUCAACGGGCUGUUCUGGUACCAGCAACAUGCUGGCGAAGCACCUACAUUUCUGUCUUACAAUGUUCUGGAUGGUUUGGAGGAGAAAGGUCGUUUUUCUUCAUUCCUUAGUCGGUCUAAAGGGUACAGUUACCUCCUUUUGAAGGAGCUCCAGAUGAAAGACUCUGCCUCUUACCUCUGUGCUGUGAGAGA